CCAACAAGGAGGUGUAUUUGAACACCUUAUUAAAUAAUCCUUUUAAUUAGAAUUAUUAUUUUGUUAAAGAGUUAUUUUUCAUUUUAUUUUAGAAUAUUGUAUUUAGUUUUCACCAAAGGUUUUUAAGAUUUGAGCAUAUUAAAGUUGUUUUUUUGACUUGCGAUUAUGAGCACGUUAAAAAACAACAUAAAUUUUUAUCUUUCGUGUGCGCGUAAAAUUCUAAUACUUGAUUCGAGGCGACCUACCCAUCUCCACGCCCUUGCUAAACAUCACUGCGAGCAAGCCGAAAUUAAAUUAACUAAUUAAGAAAUUAAAUUCACAUUGCGGCGUUGCUAUCGGUGGCAGGUUACCAAUGCAGUCGUUCUCUGUCUACUCCCUAUCUAUUAGGUCUAAUACAUUAAAACUCAAUCCGUAAGAUUCAACUCGCCAAACGUGUAUAGGUGCUUGUGAUCGGGCUUGGGCGGCUGUCGAAGAACGACACGAGUCCAUGGUAGCGAGGAAGAAGAAGAAGGUGCUUGUGAUUUAAUUGUUAUUUUACCAACGAUGGCAUUUGACAUUUGUUUUGUUGUUGUUCCUGAUAGAGUUGUUCAUAGUGGCAUCGAUAUUAUUAUUGUCCUUGAUGUUAUUCUUCAGCCCUAUAUAUGUGUUAAAAAGGGUGUGGAUGGAAUUGAACUAUAUUAUCAGCGACCAGACUCUUCUAUAGUUAAACUUUUAGUAGUUUCAAUACGAUACAAAUACAGCAACUUGGAUUGGACCAUACUUUAAAGUUGCAUUUAGAAACCUUGCUAAAUACUUCUAGAGACAUAACUCCCAACCAUAUCACUACGAUCAUGUUCCUGUGGUCUAUAGUCCUCGUCGCUUGGCUUACCAAGUACGCGCUCAAGUCGCCGACAGAGUGAAUGAGCUUUUAAGGGAUGGAAUCGUCCGCGAAAGUCACUUCAAAAAAGUUUUACAAAAAAAUACGUUGGCUUGGUUAGAAGAAGACCAAGCCGCUGUAAUAUUAAGUGGUUUAAGAAUAUUACUUUUCCAUUUUCUAAGAAUGAAGAAAAAGGCAAUUUUAAGUAGAUCACUUAUCCAUUCAUAACUAUGUUGUUGUUGGUUAUAUGAUUAGUUCGAUGUAUCGAAUUUGUAUUUUUUUAAUUUCUUAAUAAAUCUCUUUAUCGUAAAAUCCGAAAGUUUUUCAGGAAAUCUGUUUUUUACAAGGGUAGAUUUAAUUAAAUCAAGAUUAUCUUUAAUAAAACAAUCAUAGAAAUUAAGACUGCUCUAUCCACAAAAUUACUGAUAGCAGUAAUUUUAUAUCGAUCAGGGUGAUAAGAUAUACAGUUUAAAUACUUAUCCGACCGAAGUGGGUUUUCUAAACCAUUUCGUUUAUAUUUUCCUUAAGUAAAAUGACGGGUGGUAUUUUCAAAAUGAAUACACUCUGCUUGUGGUAAAUUUUCUCUAAUUUAAUUUAUUUUAAGUCAAUAGAUGUAUUAGUAAAGAGAGAAACCAUAUCUAGAGAAAUUAACGGAAAGUCUGAAUAGUCUUUUUUUUAAGUUUAGUUCUUUUCUUUAAGUUCAAAGAAAUUUUUUAUUGUAUAUGGUGAGUUAAGCAUAAGGGGAAAAUAGGCAUAGAAAAAUAGGCUGCUACAACUUGUAACUUAUAUGUGGGACAGUUACUUGUAGAAACCACAGGUCGUAGAGGCAUAUCAUGCUUAUGAACCUUAAUGAGCCCUAGAUUUUAGUCAUGAAUGAAUUUUUUUCUAAUAAACCCUUAACUAGUAGGAAUAUUAGACAUAUAGUAUUAGAACAUUACCUUUAUCGGCCCUCGUUUCUUCUCUAAACGCAGGUUUUGCGUAUUUGAUUUAGCUAAAUAUUAAAUCGGCCGACCUAUAAAACUUGUCUAAGGACGCUUAUAUGGGUUUCUUCAUGCCGAAUAUCAGCAUAAAGUAUGGGAUUAAAUUUAUUUUCUGUGUAAAACAUAAGUGAAAUUUAAUAAGAUUAUUUACCAUAAACGCAUAGUAUAAUAUUUGCCUUGGUUUAUCUCUAUAUCAUAUCUCCCGCAUAUUGGAUCAGGUUCUCAUCAUUACAGUAUCUUACAAUUAGUAGUUGUUAGUGUAAUACAAUGUAUCUGAGUGAACACGAAAUUCGUGGAGGCAAGGUUUCGUGGAAAUCCACUUUUCAGAGUGAAUUUCAACAUCAGAUUAAAAAUGUGAUAUUAUUUGACAUAAUAAAGACCAGAAUUCAUCAACCAUACAUUCAAACAAAGGGUCAAUACCACUUGGCUAAUAGGGUUCGAUGAAAGGUAAACGAUGUGUUGGACACAAAAAAUAAAAAUUACUAUUUAAUAUUACUGAAAAUCACUUCCGGUUUAAAAUUAAAUAUGUCGUUCACACAAACCAAAAUGGGGCAUUUCUUGACUCUAGUGAUAUGCAACAAGGUUAUAUCCUCAGUGCAAAAAGAGUGGUCGGAAGUGAGAAGACGGUUUGCGAAAGCUAACUUCGUUUCAACUAUAUCUGAGUUUUUAAAUUUGUCUACUAAACAGAGAUGUUCCCGAACCCAAGUUCCAACCCUCCUUCCGGAUUUGCCUACGGUGUUAUCAGGAUCUACUAGCAAAAAUUACGCGGGUUAUAUAAUGAGUAUUAAAUAUUAUUGUAAUAUAAUAAUUAUUAGCUUUACAUCCAGCAUAAUUAUUUAUUGCGCUGAGUUGUUCCGUAAAACUUCCGAGUUGUUGUCGGAACUUAAAAUGUUUAAAGAGGACAAAAAACUUUUACUAACGUAGUUGUAAGUUUUUCUGGUACUUAAUGGCAUAUAGUGAAACCAAAUUGAAAAGGUAUUCGGGUUAAUUCUUUCUGACUUCAUUAAAAUCAUUAGUCACCUUUUCUUUUCAAUGCGGUUAUAACAUUUGUACAAUAAAACUAAGUUUAAUUAUAUAUGUAUAUUAUAUUUCUAAAAUGUAUAAAGUAUAAAAGCAUCUAUGAACCAAACAUGUUAAGAUUUAGUUCUUUUAAUAUUUAUCUACUUAACUAAUUGUGGGUUUCUAAAUAUAGCAAAUGAAUAAAUAGGUUAAAUUAAAAUUUGAUAUUCUACCAUCUUAACAUAGAAGAUUCUUGGUUAUUAUACUUAUUUGGGCUAAAAUAAUAAGAAUAUACAUUGACAGUAAUUAAUUUUAAAUUAGAGAAUAAGCACAUUUUACCUUGUAUUUAAAAUCGUGAUUGCCUGUGGAUUUACUAGUGGCUGUAGCUUUUCCGUAAACCUCUUGUAAUUUCGAUCUAGUUCUCUUUGGUAAUCCCUUUGAUCUGGCCCUAUCAAAUUUUUGUUUUUCUUUAGGGCAUCCGCACAUCUAAAGAAUAUUAGAAUCAUUAAAAUAAAUAAAUCAAAAAUAAAUGUUCUUACUUCUUCGAAAAAUCCUUAAAACACAGUCGAAGUUUGUUUUGAUGUUUUGUUAAAGCCUUUCCGCCACUAGGCAAAAAUGUCAAAGCCAUUUCCAGGGGCCCUUGAUUGACGGUAGUUCCAAUGCAGCCUUGCAAAACCAUUUGAAGAAUUUUUGGAUCCGGCGGUUCCUGUUGAGUUGCGAUAGCAAGCUCUGUUGUUUUCUUUUGAAUGUCCUCAAUGGCAACCUUCAGACAAUUUUUAAUUUCAAAUGAAUAUUAAAAGCAAGAAACUAUUUAUAAACAAAAUUUAAAAUAUCGGGUUUUAUAUUGCCAUUAAUAAUAGCGAUUCUGUAUGUUCCGUAUUCGUCAUCCGAUUCAUGCGCAUCUUCAAAUAAUCGAAAUAGCUAACACUAUAAUAUUCAAAAUAAUUAUUAGGAGAAAGAUGGCAUUUAAAAGUGAGUAGAAGCGUACUAGAUAACACCACGAAAUUUAAGCUUUCCAAUAAUAUUUAAAGAGCAAGUUUGUGUGCGCAGCGAGGUCUUUUUAACCGGGUUGAAGAAGAAAUUGAGCCAUGGCGUCCAAACCAACCACAAGUGUGAAGGAACUGAGUUUAAUAUUGGUCUGAGCAUGCUCCGGGAAUAGUUUUCGCAAUUUAAAAAAGCUGAAAUCUCAAAGGUGGGAAGCAGGAGGAUCAAUGCAUCUCUGCAAAGUCUAACUUUGGACAUUAAUAACCUAAAGGUCAACGCAAAACGACAAGAAAAUAAGCUGGGAAUAUUCAGCUUAAAUACAAUGCAGACUGCCUUAUUAUUCACGGGAUGCAGGAAGGCAACAAAGAUCUCGAAUCGGCUGUACAAAUAUUUAGCGACUGGAUAAAAAUUGACCUAAAUAAAAACUAGAUAUCUCACUGCGAGUAUAUGGGUAAAAAAACAUCUGCCUCGCAGAAACCCAGACCAGUUAUGGUUCGGUUUUUACAUAGGUGGUUGAGAAACCAAAGUUGUGUUUACAAAGAAAAAGCUUUUGAUGGGCUCAGGUUUUGUUGUGAAAGAGGUUCUUAUACCAGAGAUCCUUAAAGUGUGCGUGCUAAUCUUAUGGAAAAUCGAUGUAAUCAUACAAUGCUUUAAUUAAAAAAAAACACCCUUAAUAACUUAAAAAAAAACGCUAAUCUAGAUAUACAGGAGGACAUUUAAUUUUAUACUUGACGAAGUUCUGUCAAUCACCUCCUUAUAUCCAACUAACCUCAUUUUGAUAUAUUAAGAGAGAACCCACCAUUGGCAAGUCCGCUGAUAUCUCUACAUUCGCGAGUAAUUAGAUCCGUUAAAUCACUAAAUUUUCAGGUGUUUUAUAAACUUUGCUUUUUAAAUACCUCCGAAGGAAAAAAUGGAGUUGUGGCCAUUCUAUUGCACCACCUGCUAAUCCACAUCGACGAUUGAAGAAUAUAUUGUAUUUUCGAGGAGAAUUUUUUGGAGUAUUUGGACUCAAUGAACUGUUUACUACCAUACAAUUCUAUUGUUUCCAGUAAAACUGUCGCCAAAUCACUAAGAAUGAGCCCAGUCAAGUAAUGAUGUUGUCGGUAUUCAGGAGAUAGCUCAGCAAAACAAUUGACACGUUCUUGGCUUGGUGGCGGCCCGGACAGGAACGAAUUUUGACUAGUAGAACUAGUUACACUAGGACUGGGAGAUACACUAGCUCCUGAUGGCAUAAAUGGCGUUGAAAAAGAUCCGACUUCUCCUAAUCUUGAAGGAAUUGUUCCAGUAUAAAUACAAUCAUAGGCAGCAAAAAAUCUUUCUAUUGCGGGAUCAUGGGUAUGGACUGAUGAAGCAGUAUCUAAAAUAACCGUAAAUAACCCUUUGUGACCA
rnacentral:lncRNA from 1 species